GACGAACGCUGGCGGCGUGCUUAACACAUGCAAGUCGAACGAUGAACUUGGAGCUUGCUCUGGGGGAUUAGUGGCGAACGGGUGAGUAACACGUGAGUAACCUGCCCUGGACUCUGGGAUAACUUCGAGAAAUCGGAGCUAAUACCGGAUAGGACCUUGCACCGCAUGGUGUGGGGUGGAAAGUUUUUCGGUUUGGGAUGGACUUGCGGCCUAUCAGCUUGUUGGUGAGGUAAUGGGUCACCAAGGCGUCGACGGGUAGCCGGACUGAGAGGGUGACCGGCCACACUGGGACUGAGACACGGCCCAGACUCCUACGGGAGGCAGCAGUGGGGAAUAUUGCACAAUGGGCGCAAGCCUGAUGCAGCAACGCCGCGUGCGGGAUGACGGCCUUCGGGUUGUAAACCGCUUUUAGUAGGGAAGAAGCCUUCGGGUGACGGUACCUGCAGAAAAAGGACCGGCUAACUACGUGCCAGCCGCCGCAGUAAGAC
rnacentral:rRNA from 1 species